rnacentral:lncRNA from 1 species
CCACCUCCCCUCCGCCAUCCGGCCGAACAAUGGCCUGGAGGGGCUGGAAAAGUGCUCCGGCAUCCCGGGGCUGGCGCCGGCCGGGGGGACCCGGCUGGGGCGAGCUCAUGGAGAGCGGGAGCCCCCAGCCCCCACGAGGCACCCACGGGGGCUGAGCAGGUCGGGGCUCCCGCCGUGCCCCCCAUGCAUCCUCACCAAGUCUGGGCUCAGGCUGUCCCUUUGCUCCAGGGGAAGAGGGUUUUUUUUUCCCCCAAAAACCACAUCCCUACCUCUUGGAGAAACCUUCCCAGCGUGACAAGGGGGACACAAAGUCACCAGGAGCACGGGGGUUGCUCCGGGGACACCGGUGAGGACAGGCAGCCCUCCGGCAGCAGUUGAGGAGCUGGGACGAUGCUGCCCCCCCCGUUCCCACGCCGCGGUGUCCCCUCUCCCCAGGCCAGGCUGGAGGCCAACGCGACGGCGCUGCGGGACGAGGCGCUGGCGCUGCGGCGCGAGCGGGCUGAGCUGGCCCGCAGGAACGCGGCUCUGCAAGAGGAGCUGGCACAGGGCGCAGAGCAGGCGAAGGGGCUGCGGCAGCGGCUGGAGGAGGCGGAGGAGCAGCGGCGAGCGCUGCGGGCACGCGGGGAGAAGUGUGAGGCUCGGCAGAAAGAGCUCGAGAAAACCCUGUGAGGGUCCCGUCCCUUUGCUGUGUCCCCCUGUCCCCCUCUGGGUGCCCCCCAGGGACGCGGUGUCCCCUAACACGGCUCUGCUCUGCCCGCAGGAGGGACUACGCGGCCGAGGCGGAGGCGCUGAGACGGCGGCGGGUGGGGUCCCGUACGGCCAGGCGCAGGUGCCCCCCUUCCCG